rnacentral:rRNA from 1 species
AGAGUUUGAUCAUGGCUCAGGACGAACGCUGGCGGCGUGCCUAAUACAUGCAAGUCGAACGAACUCUGGUAUUGAUUGGUGCUUGCAUCAUGAUUUACAUUUGAGUGAGUGGCGAACUGGUGAGUAACACGUGGGAAACCUGCCCAGAAGCGGGGGAUAACACCUGGAAACAGAUGCUAAUACCGCAUAACAACUUGGACCGCAUGGUCCGAGUUUGAAAGAUGGCUUCAGCUAUCACUUUUGGAUGGUCCCGCGGCGUAUUAGCUAGAUGGUGGGGUAACGGCUCACCAUGGCAAUGAUACGUAGCCGACCUGAGAGGGUAAUCGGCCACAUUGGGACUGAGACACGGCCCAAACUCCUACGGGAGGCAGCAGUAGGGAAUCUUCCACAAUGGACGAAAGUCUGAUGGAGCAACGCCGCGUGAGUGAAGAAGGGUUUCGGCUCGUAAAACUCUGUUGUUAAAGAAGAACAUAUCUGAGAGUAACUGUUCAGGUAUUGACGGUAUUUAACCAGAAAGCCACGGCUAACUACGUGCCAGCAGCCGCGGUAAUACGUAGGUGGCAAGCGUUGUCCGGAUUUAUUGGGCGUAAAGCGAGCGCAGGCGGUUUUUUAAGUCUGAUGUGAAAGCCUUCGGCUCAACCGAAGAAGUGCAUCGGAAACUGGGAAACUUGAGUGCAGAAGAGGACAGUGGAACUCCAUGUGUAGCGGUGAAAUGCGUAGAUAUAUGGAAGAACACCAGUGGCGAAGGCGGCUGUCUGGUCUGUAACUGACGCUGAGGCUCGAAAGUAUGGGUAGCAAACAGGAUUAGAUACCCUGGUAGUCCAUACCGUAAACGAUGAAUGCUAAGUGUUGGAGGGUUUCCGCCCUUCAGUGCUGCAGCUAACGCAUUAAGCAUUCCGCCUGGGGAGUA